rnacentral:rRNA from 1 species
UGCCACCUGCAUUAAAUAAGUGGUACGUCCUGCCCAGUGAAUCAUUCAACGGCCGCGGUAUCCUAACCGUGCAAAGGUAGCAUAAUCACUUGCCCAUUAAUUGUGGGCUAGAAUGAACGAAUAAACGAGAAUAUAGCUGUCUCCUUUAAGCCUCUAAAAAUUAAUAUCCGAGUGAAGAAGCUCAGAUCCCCUCGCAGGACAAGAAGACCCUAUAGAGCUUUACUUACAUAAUAUAUCACAAAUAUUUUACAGUUCGGUUGGGGCGACCAAGGACCAUAAAUCAUCCUAAAUUCAAAAAAUUGACAAAUUAUACAAAAGAUCCUACCUCUAGAUCAUUGGAUCCAGCUACCUUAGGGAUAACAGGCUAAUUCUCCUAGAGAGCCCUUAUCGACAGGAGAGGUUGGCACCUCGAUGUUGGCUUAGGACCUCUUCACGGCGCAGCAGCCGUGAUAAGAUGGUUUGUUCAACCAUUAAACUCCU